UUCCUCGAUAGCUCAAUUGGCAGAGCGAGCGGCUGUUAACCGUUAGGUUCCAGGUUCGAGUCCUGGUCGAGGAGU
rnacentral:tRNA from 1 species